GACGAACGCUGGCGGCGUGCUUAACACAUGCAAGUCGAACGGAAAGGCCCUGCUUUUGUGGGGGGCUCGAGUGGCGAACGGGUGAGUAACACGUGAGUAACCUGCCCUUGACUUUGGGAUAACUUCGGGAAACUGGGGUUAAUACCGGAUAGGAGCUCCUGCUGCAUGGUGGGGGUUGGAAAGUUUCGGCGGUUGGGGAUGGACUCGCGGCUUAUCAGCUUGUUGGUGGGGUAGUGGCUUACCAAGGCUUUGACGGGUAGCCGGCCUGAGAGGGUGACCGGCCACAUUGGGACUGAGAUACGGCCCAGACUCCUACGGGCGGCAGCAGUGGGGAUUAUUGCACAAUGGGCGGAAGCCUGAUGCAGCAACGCCGCGUGCGGGAUGACGGCCUUCGGGUUGUAAACCGCCUUCGCCUGUGACGAAGCGUGAGUGACGGUAAUGGGUAAAGAAGCACCGGCUAACUACGUG
rnacentral:rRNA from 1 species